rnacentral:rRNA from 1 species
CCUACGGGGGGCAGCAGUCGAGAAUCAUUCACAAUGGGGGAAACCCUGAUGGUGCGACGCCGCGUGGGGGAAUGAAGGUCUUCGGAUUGUAAACCCCUGUCAUGUGGGAGCAAAUUAAAAAGAUAGUACCACAAGAGGAAGAGACGGCUAACUCUGUGCCAGCAGCCGCGGUAAUACAGAGGUCUCAAGCUUUGUUAGGAAUCACUGGGCGUAAGGCGUGCGUAGGCUGUUUCGUAAGUCGUGUGUGAAAGGCGCGGGCUCAACCCGCGGACGGCACAUGAUACUGCGAGACUAGAGUAAUGGAGGGGGAACCGGAAUUCUCGGUGUAGCAGUGAAAUGCGUAGAUAUCCAGAGGAACACUCGUGGCGAAGGCGGGUUCCUGGACAUUAACUGACGCUGAGGCACGAAGGCCAGGGGAGCGAAAGGGAUUAGAUACCCUUGUAGUC